GCUCUGUGCUUCACGGAAACCUGGCUGAAUGAAGCCAUCCCGGACAGCGCGCUACAUCUGCAGGGCUUCCAGCUGUUCAGAGCGGAUUGCGACGCGGAAUCAGCGGGGAAAUCACGUGGCGGUGGGACAUGCUUCUACAUCAACGAAAGGUGGUGUACAGAUGUAACAGCGUUGAAGAAGAUGUGCUGUCCCGACCUAGAAGCGCUCUUCAUCAACUGUAAGCCUUUCUACUCGCCGCGGGAGUUUUCCUCGUUCAUCCUUGUAAGUGUUUACAUUCCACCGCAAGCGUGCGUGAACGCUGCGCUGCAACAGCUGGGCGACCAGAUCACUGACACAGAGCAACAACACCCGGACUCUGUUAUAAUCAUUCUCGGGGACUUUAAUAAAGCAAAUCUCUCCCGUGAACUGCCAAAAUACAGACAGCAUAUUACAUGUCCCACCAGAGACAGUAAUAUUUUGGACCACUGCUACACCACAGUAAAGGAUGCAUAUCACUCUGUUCCACGGGCAGCUUUGGGGCUCUCUGAUCACUGCCUGGUUCAUCUUAUACCGACCUACAGGCAGAAACUGAAAUCAGCUAAACCUGUAAUAAGGACUGUUAAAAGAUGGACUGGGCUGGGGAAGCAGAGCAGGACUUACAAGCCUGCUUCGAGUGCACCGAUUGGAGUGUUUUUGAGGCUGCUGCUAGCGAUCUAGAUGAGCUCACAGACUCUGUAACAUCAUAUGUCAGUUUCUGCGAGGAUAUGUGCAUCCCUACCAGGACUCGUUUAACAUACAACAAUGACAAACCGUGGUUCACUGCAAAACUCAGACAGCUUCGUCAGGCCAAAGAAGACGCCUACAAGAAUGGGGACAGAGUCUUGUAUAAACAGGCCAAAAACACACUGGCAAAGGAGAUCAGAGUGGCUAAGAGAAACUACUCUGAAAAGCUGAAGAAACAGUUUUCAGCCAACGAUCCUGCGUCAGUGUGGAAAGGCAUGAAAGACAUCACAAAUUACAAGACACCACCCCCCGGCACCGUGUCAACUCAACAACUAGCCGACGAUUUGAAUGAGUUUUAUUGCAGGUUUGAUAAACCCUGUCUCACACCGCACACCCAUUCAGACCCUCUCUCCACCAAUCACUUAACAACUCAAGUAACCCCCACCUUCCCCCCUCCUGCACCUUUGAUCUGCGAAGAGGAGGUGCGUCGGGUCUUCAUCAAACAGAAGACAAGGAAAGCACCAGGCCCAGACGGUGUCUCACCGGCCUGCCUAAAAACCUGUGCUGACCAGCUGGCCCCUAUCUUCACAAAGAUCUUCAACAGAUCACUGGAGAUGUGCGAAGUUCCUUCCUGCUUCAAACGCUCCACCAUCAUCCCCAUCCCAAAGAAACCCAAAAUCACAGGACUUAAUGACUACAGACCUGUCGCCCUAACGUCUGUGGUCAUGAAGUCACUUGAAAAACUGGUGUUGGACUACCUGAAAGACAUCACUGGACCCUUGCUGGACCCCCUGCAGUUUGCUUACCGAGCAAACAGGUCUGUGGAUGAUGCAGUCAACAUGGGACUGCACUACAUUCUACAACAUCUGGACAAACCAGGGACUUAUGCGAGAAUCCUGUUCGUGGACUUCAGCUCAGCCUUCAACACCAUCAUCCCACACCUCCUCCUGUCCAAAUUAACCCAACUCUCUGUGCCCACCUCCAUCUGUCAGUGGAUCACCAACUUUCUGACAGACAGGCAGCAGAUAGUGAGGCUGGGAAGAUUCUCAUCCAAUACUCGCACAACCAGUACUGGCGCCCCCCAGGGAUGUGUGCUCUCCCCACUGCUCUUCUCCCUGUACACCAACGACUGCACCGCUAAAGACCCCUCUGUCAAGCUCCUGAAGUUCGCAGAUGACACCACACUCAUCGGCCUCAUCCGGAAUGACGACGAGUCUGCUUACAGACAGGAGGUCCAAGAGCUGGCUGUCUGGUGCAGUCAUAACAACCUGGAGCUGAGCACGCUCAAAACAGU
ensembl:lncRNA